GAGAGAGAGAGAGAGAGAGAGAGAGAGAGAGAGAGAGACGUAUACAGGACUUUUUGGGUAGUUGUGACACGUUUCUCAGUUGGAAUUGGACCAUAUCAAGCUGUAAUGUGUCAGGUGUCACCAUGGUAACAGGAUUUAGAUUAAAGUAGAGAUGCUUGUCUUGAAACCAAAAAAUUAUGAGCAACAUGGAGUUAUUUACAGAUUUGAAAUGACGUAAAAACAACAAGAUAGUUCCCUAAGAUUCAGACAUACUAUGAUUAUGUAGCACAGGAGGCUGGUGGCAUCUUAAAUGGGGAGGAUGGGCUGAUAGUAAUGGCUGCAAAGGAAUUAAAUGGAAUGGAAUCAAACACAUGGUUUCCAUGUGUUUAAUACCAUUACAUUCACUCCAUUCCAGCCACUAUUAUGAGCCGUCCUCCCCUCACCAGCCUCCUGUAAUAUGUAAGAAGGUUACACUAAGGUACAUGAGUAUUACAUGAAUGUUUAUCAAAUCACAAACGGUGUAUAUUGUAUAAGAUGGUUGUACCUAUUUAGUGACAAUGGGGCAAAGCUACCUUGUUUAAAAGGUACACUCAGUAAGGUGGCAUUGUAAUACAUACAAAAGAUUCGGACCUCAGGCUCUUUACCAAAUGAUACAACAUAAAUAUACACAUUAAACACAACACAUGUAUAUAUACACAUUAAACACAACAUAUGUAUAUAUACACAUUAGAAUACAGAAACACAGUCACGUGAAGCACAAAUAUAACCAUCACAAAUCACAGAGAAAAACUGUCUCAUUCAUCCACAAAUAAAACCCUAAUCAAUACUUUAAACUGCCCGAACGGCACCAGAACGUCAACAUGAAAUGGAUUUUCAAUUUUGUUCCAGCAAUACGGUGCAUUAAAAACAAAAAGCAGAUUUACCUGCCGGAGACCAAGUUGACCAAGCCUUAGGUAAUUCAGGUGUCUAUACUUCAACAGCAAAGAUAAGACCUUGUAAACAACAAGGGUGUCUUCCUGCUUGCGGACAUUUUGAAUUCUGUUUAUGUCUGUGUUUAUGUCUGUGGUUAUGUCUGUGUUUAUGUCUGUGUUUAUGUCUGUGUUUAUGUCUGUGUUUAUGUCUGUGUAUAUGUCUGUGUUUAUGUCUGUGUUUAUGUCUGUGUUUAUGUCUGUGUUUAUGUCUGUGUUAUGUCUGUGUUUAUGUCUGUGUUUAUGUCUGUGUUUAUGUCUGUGUUUAUGUCUGUGUUUAUGUCUGUGUUUAUGUCUGUGUUUAUGUAUGUGUCUGUGUUUAUGUCUGUGUUUAUGUCUGUGUUUAUGUCUGUGUUUAUGUCUGUGUUUAUGUCUGUGUUUAUGUCUGUGUUUAUGUCUGUGUUUAUGUCUGUGUUUAUGUCUGUGUUUGUGUUUAUGUCUGUGUUUAUGUCUGUGUUUAUGUCUGUGUUUAUGUCUGUGUUUAUGUCUGUGUAUGUGUCUGUGUUUAUGUCUGUGUAUGUGUCUGUGUUUAUGUCUGUGUUUGUGUCUGUGUUUAUGUCUGUGUUUAUGUAUAUGUCUGUGUAUAUGUCUGUGUUUAUGUCUGUGUAUGUUAUAUAGCUGAGCCUUUAAGUUGUCUAUAUUCUUCUCCAUCUCAGUCAUGAUCUGAUAAGAUGGUAUCACAGACACAAGGAAACGUAUGAAAUUGGAUUCACAUUUAUUAUUGUAUGUUUUUGUCUGUCGAAAGUUCAACUCAAGUCAACUAUUUCCGGAGGAGUUUCAUACGCACAAAAGGCCGUCAUCUUUGUGUGUUUUCUUUCGAAAGACAAUCAUCUCCGUUGUCCAUCUUCCAUCAACGGAAGCCCUCCAUUGAAAAACCAUUGGCUCAAAGCCAUAGUUUUCCUCACACAAACUUCCUGUCUGGCCACAGCCUUGGUAAUUGAUCAGGGCCCGGUUCCCCAAAAGCAUCUUGAGGCUAAGUUUAUCUUGGAACCAUAGGAUCCUUGAGAUGUUUUUAGGAAACCGGGCCUUGGUGGUUUUCUCUCGUCCUCUUGCCUGUUGUCCAUCCAUCAUCAAAUCAGAUCCCCCUACUUCCUUUAAAAACUGGCCUUCAUGUGCUUUCAUAUAUCUACUUCACAGAAGCAGUAUUUAUGCAAUACAAAUGCAGUAUUCGCUGUAAAAAAAAAAGUGAUGUGUUUUUUGUUAUAUGGAAAUUACAUUGACAAGUAUUUUUCAUGGUGCUAACGUUUAGCCUUUAAAAACAUAAUAAUAUUGUAAUGUAUUGCAAAUGUAGUUUUAUAUGACCUUCUAGAAUAUCGUCCUGUAGGUUUGUAAUUUAUACUUUAAUAUGAUGUACUUUUGACUUAAAACGUUUUGUCCCUUUUUGUAGUUGUGUUUUUCAUAAGGUUGCAAAAUUCUGGUAACUUUCCCACGAGUCCCAGGUGUUCCAGCAACCCCGGUUGGAAGAUUCUGGUAACUUUCCCACGAGUCCCAGGUGUUCCAGCAACCCCGGUUGGAAGAUUCCUGGAAUCAGGAAGUAAUAACGCAGGACAUCUGGGAAAUAUAGGAAUCCUACAACUGGGAAUUUUGGAAAAGUUACCAGAUUUUUAAAAGAAAUGUGCAGCCCUAGUUUUGUAUUGUUUAUGUUUCAUUAGGAUAAAUCCUAUAGUUGCUGUCAUCAGUCUGUUUUAACACCAGUGCACCUCAUCAUACAGGUAUAUUAUAGUGACCGGUAGAGCUCUGGUUAAAAGUAGUGCUCUAAGUUUUGGGAAUAGGGUGAUAUUUGGGAUGCACUAUGGUUGUACCUAAUAAGUACUGCACCUGAUACUUGGCAAUGGUAGAGAACAAUAAACAUCAGAUUUCCAAACGA